UACGUAGGGUGCGAGCGUUAAUCGGAAUUACUGGGCGUAAAGCGUGCGCAGGCGGUUAUGCAAGACAGAUGUGAAAUCCCCGGGCUUAACCUGGGAACUGCAUUUGUGACUGCAUAGCUGGAGUGCGGCAGAGGGGGAUGGAAUUCCGCGUGUAGCAGUGAAAUGCGUAGAUAUGCGGAGGAACACCGAUGGCGAAGGCAGCCCCCUGGGCUAACACUGACGCUCAUGCACGAAAGCGUGGGGAGCAAACAGG
rnacentral:rRNA from 1 species